rnacentral:rRNA from 1 species
AGAGUUUGAUCCUGGCUCAGAACGAACGUUGGCGGCGUGGAUUAGGCAUGCAAGUCGCGCGAAUCCCCGAAAGGGGGGAAGCGGCGUACGGGGCAGUAAGGCGUGGGUGACCUGCCUGGGGGCCGGGGAUAGCCCGUCGAGAGACGGGGUAAUACCCGAUGACGUCGCGAGACCAAAGCUCCGGCGCCCCCGGAGGGGCCCACGUGGUAUUACCUAGUUGGCGGGGUAACGGCCCACCAAGGGGGAGAUGCCUAGCGGGUGUGAGAGCACGACCCGCGCCACUGGCACUGAGACACUGGCCAGACACCUACGGGUGGCUGCAGUCGAGGAUCUUCGGCAAUGGGGGCAACCCUGACCGAGCGACGCCGCGUGGGCGACGAAGGCCUUCGGGUUGUAAAGCCCUGUCGAGGGGGAGAAAAGGGAAACCUUGAUCUAUCCCUGGAGGAAGCACGGGCUAAGUUCGUGCCAGCCGCCGCGGUAAUUC